GGGUUUAUACAUCUAUUGUCUAUCUUUCUAUUGUAUAUUUUAGAGCUUUAGCUUUUUUAUAAUGUAAAAUUAAACAUUGUAAUGGCGGAGUUGAGAUGAUAUCGUUGAUUCACUUUUAUUAUUUUAACUGAAAUAAUAAAAAGCAGAUUUUCAA